AAAAGGUUGUAUCUUCUUGUCCAUUAUACAUUACAGAGGUGUUCAAUUUGCAAAAUGUAGUUAACCAACUCAUGUUAAAGUUAUAUGAUUAAGUCAUGUUGCAGAAUUUUAGUAAAUCACUGUGUUGCUUUUAUUUUCUGAAAAAUUUCUAUUGUUGGAUUGAAUUAUAUCAUUUGUUGGUCAUUAUUUCAUAACUUGAUCAUCUUGCUAAUCUUUAUUUUCCUUCUUUUCUUUGCAUGAACUAUCCUGUUUGAGUCUAAUGGACUCCUGUCUCUUGCAUUUUCCGUCGACCUCCUCCAAAAAUUAUUUUUAUUGGGUUAAAAACCCAAGAACACAGCAGCCUAAAGGCCUGAGAUUCAAGUUCUUUUUUUUUAUUGAGAAGUCCACUAAAUAUAGCAGCAACAGCAGCCUUUAAAAGGCAGAAAAACG
rnacentral:misc_RNA from 1 species